rnacentral:rRNA from 1 species
UACGGAGGAUCCAAGCGUUAUCCGGAAUUACUGGGCGUAAAGAGUUGCGUAGGUGGCAGAGUAAGUCUGUAGUGAAAGCGUGCGGCUCAACCGCAUACACAUUACAGAAACUGCUCAGCUAGAGGACGAGAGAGGUUAUUAGAAUUCCUAGUGUAGCGGUGGAAUGCGUAGAUAUUAGGAGGAAUACCGAUGGCGUAGGCAGAUAACUGGCUCGUUCCUGACACUAAGGCACGAAAGCGUGGGUA